GGUUAAGUUAGAAAGGGCGCACGGUGGAUGCCUUGACACUAGGAGUCGAUGAAGGACGGGACUAACGCCGAUAUGCUUCGGGGAGCUGUAAGUAAGCUUUGAUCCGAAGAUUUCCGAAUGGGGAAACCCACCAUACGUAAUGGUAUGGUAUCCUUAUCUGAAUACAUAGGGUAAGGAAGACAGACCCAGGGAACUGAAACAUCUAAGUACCUGGAGGAAGAGAAAGCAAAUGCGAUUUCCUGAGUAGCGGCGAGCGAAACGGAACAUAGCCCAAACCAAGAGGCUUGCCUCUUGGGGUUGUAGGACAUUCUAUACGGAGUUACAAAGGAACGAGGUAGACGAAGCGACCUGGAAAGGUCCGUCGUAGAGGGUAACAACCCCGUAGUCGAAACUUCGUUCUCUCUUGAAUGUAUCCUGAGUACGGCGGAACACGUGAAAUUCCGUCGGAAUCUGGGAGGACCAUCUCCCAAGGCUAAAUACUCCCUAGUGAUCGAUAGUGAACCAGUACCGUGAGGGAAAGGUGAAAAGCACCCCGGACGGGAGUGAAAGAGAUCCUGAAACCGUGUGCCUACAAUAGUCAGAGCCCGUUAACGGGUGAUGGCGUGCCUUUUGUAGAAUGAACCCGGCGAGUUACGAUCCCGUGCGAGGUUAAGCUGAAGAGGCGGAGCCGCAGCGAAAGCGAGUCUGAAUAGGGCGUUUAGUACGUGGUCGUAGACCCGAAACCAGGUGAUCUACCCAUGUCCAGGGUGAAGUUCAGGUAACACUGAAUGGAGGCCCGAACCCACGCACGUUGAAAAGUGCGGGGAUGAGGUGUGGGUAGCGGAGAAAUUCCAAUCGAACCUGGAGAUAGCUGGUUCUCCCCGAAAUAGCUUUAGGGCUAGCCUUAAGUGUAAGAGUCUUGGAGGUAGAGCACUGAUUGGACUAGGGGUCCUCAUCGGAUUACCGAAUUCAGUCAAACUCCGAAUGCCAAUGACUUAUCCUUAGGAGUCAGACUGCGAGUGAUAAGAUCCGUAGUCAAAAGGGAAACAGCCCAGACCGCCAGCUAAGGUCCCAAAGUGUGUAUUAAGUGGAAAAGGAUGUGGAGUUGCUUAGACAACUAGGAUGUUGGCUUAGAAGCAGCCACCAUUUAAAGAGUGCGUAAUAGCUCACUAGUCGAGUGACUCUGCGCCGAAAAUGUACCGGGGCUAAAUACACCACCGAAGCUGCGGAUUGAUACCGAAUGGUAUCAGUGGUAGGGGAGCGUUCUAAGGACAGUGAAGUCAGACCGGAAGGACUGGUGGAGUGCUUAGAAGUGAGAAUGCCGGUAUGAGUAGCGAAAGACGGGUGAGAAUCCCGUCCACCGAAUGCCUAAGGUUUCCUGAGGAAGGCUCGUCCGCUCAGGGUUAGUCAGGACCUAAGCCGAGGCCGACAGGCGUAGGCGAUGGACAACAGGUUGAUAUUCCUGUACCACCUCUUUAUCGUUUGAGCAAUGGAGGGACGCAGAAGGAUAGAAGAAGCGUGCGAUUGGUUGUGCACGUCCAAGCAGUUAGGCUGAUAAGUAGGCAAAUCCGCUUAUCGUAAAGGCUGAGCUGUGAUGGGGAAGCUCCUUAUGGAGCGAAGUCUUUGAUUCCCCGCUGCCAAGAAAAGCUUCUAGCGAGAUAAAAGGUGCCUGUACCGCAAACCGACACAGGUAGGCGAGGAGAGAAUCCUAAGGUGUGCGAGAGAACUCUGGUUAAGGAACUCGGCAAAAUGACCCCGUAACUUCGGGAGAAGGGGUGCUUUCUUAACGGAAAGCCGCAGUGAAUAGGCCCAAGCGACUGUUUAGCAAAAACACAGCUCUCUGCGAAGCCGUAAGGCGAAGUAUAGGGGGUGACACCUGCCCGGUGCUGGAAGGUUAAGGAGAGGGGUUAGCGUAAGCGAAGCUCUGAACUGAAGCCCCAGUAAACGGCGGCCGUAACUAUAACGGUCCUAAGGUAGCGAAAUUCCUUGUCGGGUAAGUUCCGACCCGCACGAAAGGUGUAACGAUUUGGGCACUGUCUCAACCAGAGACUCGGUGAAAUUAUAGUACCUGUGAAGAUGCAGGUUACCCGCGACAGGACGGAAAGACCCCGUGGAGCUUUACUGUAGCCUGAUAUUGAAUUUUGGUACAGUUUGUACAGGAUAGGCGGGAGCCUUUGAAACCGGAGCGCUAGCUUCGGUGGAGGCGCUGGUGGGAUACCGCCCUGACUGUAUUGAAAUUCUAACCUACGGGUCUUAUCGACCCGGGAGACAGUGUCAGGUGGGCAGUUUGACUGGGGCGGUCGCCUCCUAAAGUGUAACGGAGGCGCCCAAAGGUUCCCUCAGAAUGGUUGGAAAUCAUUCGUAGAGUGCAAAGGCAUAAGGGAGCUUGACUGCGAGACCUACAAGUCGAGCAGGGACGAAAGUCGGGCUUAGUGAUCCGGUGGUUCCGCAUGGAAGGGCCAUCGCUCAACGGAUAAAAGCUACCCCGGGGAUAACAGGCUUAUCUCCCCCAAGAGUCCACAUCGACGGGGAGGUUUGGCACCUCGAUGUCGGCUCAUCGCAUCCUGGGGCUGUAGUCGGUCCCAAGGGUUGGGCUGUUCGCCCAUUAAAGCGGUACGCGAGCUGGGUUCAGAACGUCGUGAGACAGUUCGGUCCCUAUCCGUCGUGGGCGUAGGAAAUUUGAGAGGAGCUGUCCUUAGUACGAGAGGACCGGGAUGGACGCACCGCUGGUGUACCAGUUGUUCUGCCAAGGGCAUAGCUGGGUAGCUAUGUGCGGAAGGGAUAAGUGCUGAAAGCAUCUAAGCAUGAAGCCCCCCUCAAGAUGAGAUUUCCCAUAGCGUAAGCUAGUAAGAUCCCUGAAAGAUGAUCAGGUUGAUAGGUUCGAGGUGGAAGCAUGGUGACAUGUGGAGCUGACGAAUACUAAUAGAUCGAGGACUUAACCAUAUA
rnacentral:rRNA from 1 species